rnacentral:lncRNA from 1 species
GAUCAGCAGCACAGGCUCUGGUGCUGAAGGGCCUCCGCUGCCUGCUGCUGCAGAAAGCCUGGUUGCAGCACACCGGGGUGCUUUGGGUGUCACAAGAGUUGCCCAGGUUGCUUUGUCUGCAGGACGUUCUGCAAGGUAAUAGCAACGUGCACUGCUGCCUGUUUUUCAGCACUAAAUAAUCCGCUAUUAAACAGUCACUUUGUUCUGUUUAUUUGUUCCCUAGCUAUUUUUCCUUUUUUUUUUUUUUUUUUUUUUUCUUACCCCCUCAUUUUUCCUUUCCUGCUUCUGCGGUGGCUUUCACAUCCUACGUGCUUAUUUUUUAUUUAAAAUCAUCAUACUUUCAUUCCACCAAGCAGAUGCUCUGAAGGUCUCUCAGAAAUCUUUGAUGUUCUUUAUUUUUUCCCUCAGCAGGCCAAGCUGGGAAAAUGUUACCAUAAAGCAUUAACUGCAUGCAUAAAAGAGGAUCAACAGCCUUGCUUUCCAUGAUUUCAGACUAUUAAAUGCUGAAAACUACCCACUAAAUGGUAUUAUUUUCAGUAGCUAAACAGUCAAUAGAUUCUUCACAAGCAAAGGCUGUAUUGCAUGGAAAAAACUGGUGGCUGAUGACAGCAUGAAAUUAAUUCACUUCUGUUUUGAGCAUGUUUUCCUGCAAAGCAGUCAUCCUGGAUCAUUACCCAAGCUGGUCUGUGGGCUUCUGCUACCUGCAUCUUGCUGAGAUGAAAACAGCUUUUAUGAGAGCAAAGGAGACUUCUUCAGGUGUCUGGAAACAGUGGUUCUUGGGCUGGUCCUUGCGGUCUGAACAACCUUUCCUCUGCUGAAGAUUUGUUGACAUGCAGCAAUUCAUUUCAAUUCUUCAUUUCCCAAAGAAAAGGAGCAUGCUGUUUUUGUCAGAUACACCCUGGUACAGCAUCCAGUGUUGUACCUGUCAGGAGGAACACGGCUCUUGCUCGUGCCCCUUGCCUAAGCCUGUUCAAAGCCAUCAGGCUGCGGCAGCAGCUGGCAUUCCUCGACAGUCCUGGAGAGGGGCUGAGUGGUGAUGCUCCUGGAAACACCUAGCAGGAUGAGUGAUUUGUCACAGCUCUUCCUCAUGAUAAUCAGGCAGACAGUUACCUAUUCAUUUUUUAUUAUCGUUAUUUAUUACCUAAUGUAAUUUGUCUGUGAGCUGUUGUCUUCUGAAUUUAGGUAGGGCUAGAUGCAGUGUCUUGGUUUAGCAAGGGAAAAAUGUGGCUCACUGACAGCUGGGGUCUGCUCUGCCCUUGUGAAAAUGAUGGUGAUUUAUUUCUGUGACAGAGACCUCCUCUCCAUAGAUGUUGUCUGUUAUUUCUGUCAUCAGCUAGUGAAGUUU